CACGUAGGAGGCGAACGUUAUCCGGAUUUACUGGGCGUAAAGCGCGUGUAGGCGGGGGGACAAGUCUGAUGUGAAAGCCCUGGGCUUAACCUGGGAAGUGCAUUGGAAACUGUUUUUCUUGAGUACUGGAGAGGAAGGGGGAAUUCCCGGUGUAGAGGUGAAAUUCGUAGAGAUCGGGAGGAAUACCAGUGGCGUAGGCGCCCUUCUGGACGGUAACUGACGCUGAGACGCGAAAGCGUGGGGAGCAAACAGG
rnacentral:rRNA from 1 species